UGCGAUAGCGGCCGUAUGAUAGCAUCACUAUGGAUGAUUGGGCUCUCAUAUGUCGGCAUUACGAGGAUCCGGCAUAUCAUGUUACACAUCCAAACUUUUUUUUUUUAGAGUUUAAUGAUUGAAUCUAUUUAUUCUUAACUUCAGUUUGUUACUUACUAAUUUGACUGCUAACUGUACAAAGAUGAUGUGCCCAGAACGUCGUGAAUCAGGCAAGAC
rnacentral:lncRNA from 1 species